UGGCCAGGUCACAUUGAAACACCAAUUCUCACACAAUCACUGAAGUUAAGCAAUGUUGAGUCUGGUUAAUACUUAGAUGGUUGACCAUUUGGGAAUAUCAGGUGCUGUAAG